GAACCUUACCUGGCCUUGACAUGGUAGGAACCCUUAAGAGAUUAGGGGGUGCUAGCUUGCUAGAACCUACACACAGGUGCUGCACGGCUGUCGUCAGCUCGUGUCGUGAGAUGUUGGGUUAAGUCCCGCAACGAGCGCAACCCUCGUCUUUAGUUGCUAACAGUUAGGCUGAGCACUCUAAAGAGACUGCCUCCGUAAGGAGGAGGAAGGUGAGGACGACGUCAAGUCAUCAUGGCCCUUACGGCCAGGGCUACACACGUGCUACAAUGGGGCGUACAGAGAGCUGCAAUACCGCGAGGUGGAGCCAAUCUCUUAAAGCGUCUCUCAGUUCGGAUUGUUCUUUGCAACUUGAGAACAUGAAGCUGGAAUCACUAGUAA
rnacentral:rRNA from 1 species